rnacentral:misc_RNA from 1 species
GAUGAAGAACGCAGCGAAAUGCGAUAAGUAAUGUGAAUUGCAGAAUUCAGUGAAUCAUCGAAUCUUUGAACGCACAUUGCGCCCGCCGGUAUUCUGGCGGGCAUGCCUGUCCGAGCGUCAUUUCAACCCUCGAACCCCUCCGGGGGGUCGGCGUUGGGGAUCGGCCCCUCACCGGGCCGCCCCCGAAAUCCAGUGGCGGUCUCGCCGCAGCCUCUCCUGCGCAGUAGUUUGCACACUCGCACCGGGAGCGCGGCGCGGCCACAGCCGUAAAACACCCCAAACUCUGAAAUGUUGACCUCGGAUCAGGUAGGAAUACCCGCUGAACUUAAGCAUAUCAAUAAGCGGAGGA